UCGGUUCAUGCCGAUACAACUGUGGAGGAUAUUCAUCAGGAUGUUCCUGCGAUUACAACUGUGCUUACUAUGGCAACUGCUGCCCAGACUUCUGUUACCAGUGUUCUUACAUUAAUUCUGGGUACUGUGGAUACACAACAACAGAAACACCAACAACAUCAGAUAUUGCUUCAUGCCGAUACAACUGUGGAGGAAGUUACGGACUAUGUUCCUGCGAUUACAACUGUGCUUACUAUGGCAACUGCU